UACGUAGGGACCGAGCGUUGUCCGGAUUCAUUGGGCGUAAAGAGCUCGUAGGCGGCCACUCAAGUCGAAUGUGAAACCUCGAGGCUUAACCUCGAGCCUGCAUUCGAUACUGGGUGGCUAGAGUCUGGUAGGGGGAUCUGGAAUUCCUGGUGUAGCGGUGGAAUGCGCAGAUAUCAGGAGGGACACCGGUGGCGAAGGCGGGAUCCUGGGCCAGUACUGACGCUGAGGAGCGAAAGCGUGUGGAGCGAACAGG
rnacentral:rRNA from 1 species